UUUCUAGUUUCCCGAGGUAUGAGAUGUCCCAUCAGGUAAAUAAUUUAGAGCUUGCACUCCCCGUGGCAGCACAGAGCAGUGCUUGAUACAGGCUUUAUCAUUUCUCGGCCCUCUUUGAUAAUCCAUAACUGUCUAGUGCAAUUAUUUUCAUUGCCUGGCCAGGCAAGGAUAAAAAGCACAACAUGCCUCUCUCGACUUCUCCCAGGGAAACUCCAUUAUCUUUGAAGGAUCACGUGACCGCACGAAGGCCAAUCAGGAGACGCCGAGGCAGUCCACAGGGCAAUCUCUGUAAGAGCAGAAAAUGAAGCUGUUACCAGACAGAAAACUGCAGUCCUGGUUUCUUAUGAAUAUUUGAGUGAGUAACUAAAAACAGCUCGAUGAACUUUAAGCAGCUGUGACAGCUGAAACUGCUGGAGAAACCAGCAGUCCUGGAGGAAUGUCGAGAUUCUUCAGAGCUGCAAGGACCAGCAUGUGAGAAAAUAGUAAUCUACAACUAUUCCUGUCAACCAGAACCCCCUGAAGAAGACCCUAUGAGUUGAAACGCGUAGGAAUCACUAUUGGGCUUUGCAGCCCGCAUGACAGAUUUAUAGUAACAAUGUCUUAUCUCUUCUUUACAUAACUAUUUUGAUGUUAUUAAUCAUGUUUCAAUAAAAUCUUUGUCAUUUUUAUAUAA